AAUCUUUUUUUAGAUGCAGCGAACGAAUGAUGAGAUGAUUCGGAAGAGUAGUAGCGGUGUGUUAGGCGCGCGCACUACAGUGCGCCGCCGUGUAUACAAAAUGUUUUCUAGACAAUACCUUAAGUGUUGCCAGAUUUUUGUUGAAGGGUGGUGAUAUCACCUUUUAAGAAAGUGAAAUAAGAAGAGAAAAAGUGCGGGCCCGCCAACUGGCUGGGCCCGCCACUGUUUCUGAAGCUGUAAGUCUUUUAUUAAUUGAAUCAUUUUUACUACUACGGUUAUAUUCUAACCAGUUAUCUUCACGGUAAAAAUAAUUCCAGUAUUAUAAAAUUAUUUUAAGCAUGAGAGGAGAUCAUUGUAUAAUUAUGGUAUAUAUUAUUUAUUUAACAAUUUAUUCCACAUUUAAAAUUACAUAAGGAAAAUAACAAUAUUUUAACUUGAAAUAGGUACAAAUCAGUCUGAUCACUAAUGGUUAUCUCUUACAGACAACCAAAUACAUUGUUAGACAAUGCAGAAAAUAUUGAUAAAAAAAAAACAAUAAACUUUAAAAACUCUUUAUUCGAAAUCUGUAUUUACAUACACUGCUCAUAAAUAUAAAUAAAUUAAAUUCAAUGUACAUAUAAAAACGAUAU